rnacentral:misc_RNA from 1 species
GAAGACCCUGAAGGUUCUGGAACUAAACACUUAUAUGAUUGUAUGCAAGGAGUCAAUUCAAUUGCUAACCGUGCUUUUGAGUCACUAUUUGAAAGACAGGCUCAAGCUGAGAAGAUAAGAUCUGUUCAAGGAACGAUUCAGAGGUUCCGAACAUUGUUUAACUUACCCAGUGCCAUUCGUGAAAGCAUUAGUAAGGGUGAAUAUGAC